rnacentral:rRNA from 1 species
AACGAACGCUGGCGGCAUGCCUAACACAUGCAAGUCGAACGAGACCUUCGGGUCUAGUGGCGCACGGGUGCGUAACGCGUGGGAACCUGCCCUUAGGUUCGGAAUAACUCCCCGAAAGGGGUGCUAAUACCGGAUAAUGUCUUCGGACCAAAGAUUUAUCGCCUUUGGAUGGGCCCGCGUUGGAUUAGCUAGUUGGUAGGGUAAAAGCCUACCAAGGCGACGAUCCAUAGCUGGUCUGUGAGGAUGAUCAGCCACACUGGGACUGAGACACGGCCCAGACUCCUACGGGAGGCAGCAGUGGGGAAUAUUGGACAAUGGGCGAAAGCCUGAUACAGCAAUGCCGCGUGAGUGAUGAAGGGCUUAGGGUUGUAAAGCUCUUUUACCCGGGAUGAUAAUGACAGUACCGGGAGAAUAAGCUCCGGCUAACUCCGU